UACGUAAGGUCCGAGCGUUGUCCGGAAUCAUUGGGCGUAAAGGGUACGUAGGCGGGUAAGCAAGUUAGAAGUGAAAUCCUGUAGCUCAACUAUAGUAAGCCUUUAAAAAUGCUCAUCUUGAGGUAUGGAAGGGAAAGUGGAAUUCCUAGUGUAGCGGUGAAAUGCGCAGAUAUUAGGAGGAAUACCGGUGGCGAAGGCGACUUUCUGGGCUCAUUCUGACGCUGAGGAACGAAAGCGUGGGUAGCAAACAGG
rnacentral:rRNA from 1 species